rnacentral:rRNA from 1 species
GACAGAGGAUGCAAGCGUUAUCCGGAAUGAUUGGGCGUAAAGCGUCUGUAGGUGGCUUUUUAAGUCCGCCGUCAAAUCCCAGGGCUCAACCCUGGGCAGGCGGUGGAAACUACCAAGCUGGAGUACGGUAGGGGCAGAGGGAAUUUCCGGUGGAGCGGUGAAAUGCGUAGAUAUCGGGAAGAACACCAAAGGCGAAAGCGCUCUGCUGGGCCGAAACUGACACUGAGAGACGGAAAGCUAGGGGAGCGAAUGGG